rnacentral:lncRNA from 1 species
GGUGAGUGUAUUCGUCAUUACCUUAGCUCUAGGGAUGAUUAGAAUACUGUACCCACACCUUCUUCGAUGACGGACAUCUAGGUUAUUACGUUUCUGUGCAGGUAGCAUUUAUUUUUGCAUAGAUCAGUUCAGCAAAUGGAGUCUCCUGCUGGAGUAAAGCCAGAGGAAUGCAUCAGUAAGUAGUGCUGCUUGAUUUUGUUGUCGGAGGGACGGUUGGCAUGGCAACCCCAGACUGAUUAGGGCAAACCUAAAUGGGGAGGGCCAGGACUUGAGCACACACAUCCUGUAGGUUCUUCGAAUCGCCCAUAGUACCGCUCAGGAUCUCUCUCUCUCUCUCUCUCUCUCUCUCUCUCUCUCUCUCUCUCUCUCUCUCUCUCUCUCUCUCUCUCCCUCUCUCCCUCUCUCCCUCUCUCCCUCUCUCCCUCUCUCCCUCUCUCCCCCUCCCCCCUCCCCCCCCCACCCCCGCUUCCUAAGGAAGCAGUCCAGAAGUUAUGAGCCUGGGCUGGCAAGGAUGGCCACAGUUCACUUGCGAUGACAUCCAAGAGACUAAGUAACCGGGCAGCACUGGGAGGUUCUGGGGCAGCUGGGGGCUCCGCUGAAAUUCCCAGAGUCUCAGCCGAUGAACUCUCACGACUGGCAGAAGAAGUUCAAAAAGUGGUGCUAUUGUGGCUCGGAAACCAAGGCCAUCACACGGCGCCCA